rnacentral:lncRNA from 1 species
GCAGUGAUGAUUGAAUACACAGCUUUAAGCCAGUUCUGCUUCAGAAAAUUCUUGAUUGAUAGAGCUGUUAUUUACUCUGAGCCUCUCAUUAUUAAAGUUUAGUUUUCAUGAUGAAUUUUUCCAACUUUUCGGUUUUUAAUUUGCCAAUGAUGAAUUAAUCCGUAUGUACGAGAUACGGUGGAUCCAAGACCUUGUUUUACAAGGAGAACCACUUGGUUGAAGCUGUAUUUCACAUGAAAUUUCUGGAUUUAACUGAGGU